UAGGGAAUCUUCGGCAAUGGACGAAAGUCUGACCGAGCAACGCCGCGUGAGUGAAGAAGGUUUUCGGAUCGUAAAACUCUGUUGUUAGAGAAGAACAAGGACGUUAGUAACUGAACGUCCCCUGACGGUAUCUAACCAGAAAGCCACGGCUAACUACGUGCCAGCAGCCGCGGUAAUACGUAGGUGGCAAGCGUUGUCCGGAUUUAUUGGGCGUAAAGCGAGCGCAGGCGGUUUCUUAAGUCUGAUGUGAAAGCCCCCGGCUCAACCGGGGAGGGUCAUUGGAAACUGGGGGACUUGAGUGCAGAAGAGGAGAGUGGAAUUCCAUGUGUAGCGGUGAAAUGCGUAGAUAUAUGGAGGAACACCAGUGGAGAAGGCGGCUCUCUGGUCUGUAACUGACGCUGAGGCUCGAAAGCGUGGGGAGCAAACAGG
rnacentral:rRNA from 1 species